UCCAAAAAAGAAAUGAGCCAAAUAAAAUGAUAAAAACCUCAUUCAUUAACACUAAAAAGAGAGGUUACAAGAGUCAUAAAGAGUAUAAAGCUCUCAUACAUCCAAUCUACAAAAUAUAACUAAAUAAUCUAAUACAAAAUGAUGAAAUUAGUGAGACUGGGCAUCGAGCAUGAGAUCAAGAAAGGUGAGACAUGGUCAGCCUUGUCCUCGAUCGAAGGGUCUGGAUCGAGAGGAAGAUGUCGGAGGACGGAAAGCAAUAGGUUGAACAAAAGCUAGUUCACUAGAUGCAGAGAGUCUAGACUGAAGUUGAGUCCUGAGGGCAUCAAGCUGGGAUAAGAUCCCCCUCAUAGUAAGUUAGAGCCCAUC
rnacentral:lncRNA from 1 species